rnacentral:rRNA from 1 species
CUACGGGCGGCUGCAGUGGGGAAUUUUGGACAAUGGGGGCAACCCUGAUCCAGCCAUGCCGCGUGAGUGAAGAAGGCCUUCGGGUUGUAAAGCUCUUUCAGCCGGGAAGAAAUCGCAUGGGUCAAUACCCUGUGCGGAUGACGGUACCGGAAUAAGAAGCACCGGCUAACUACGUGCCAGCAGCCGCGGUAAUACGUAGGGUGCGAGCGUUAAUCGGAAUUACUGGGCGUAAAGCGUGCGCAGGCGGAUGCUUAAGUCAGAUGUGAAAUCCCCGGGCUUAACCUGGGAAUUGCAUUUGAAACUGGGUGUCUAGAGCGCGUCAGAGGGGGGUGGAAUUCCACGUGUAGCAGUGAAAUGCGUAGAUAUGUGGAGGAACACCAAUGGCGAAGGCAGCCCCCUGGGAUGACACUGACGCUCAUGCACGAAAGCGUGGGGAGCAAACAGGAUUAGAUACCCCUGUAGUC